GGGGGCGUUCUGGAUUCGACGGGGAUGGUAGAGCAUGAGAAGCGAGCCGGGGGGUUGCGGACCUCGUCAUCAACGCAAACGCCAUUUAACUGGCAACAAACAACUUUCUCUCGCUGCUUAAUAACCAGUGAGGCGCUACCAUUCCAUCGCCCAUGUGGCAUGACUAGCGCUCAACUUUAGUGGGAUACGCCGGAGGCUUCCGCCUGGAGCCGAAGGAAGAAGAUCAAUCAGGCUAGGUGCCAGGUCAGCGCGUCACUCCGCGAAUCUGUCACCGAAACUCUAAAUGAGUGACUGCGCUCGGAGAUGCUCAUGUAUCGCUGUUUUCGGACGGGGGUUCGAAUCCCCCCGCCUCCACCU
rnacentral:tmRNA from 1 species